rnacentral:rRNA from 1 species
AACGCUAGCUACAGGCUUAACACAUGCAAGUCGUGGGGUAACGAGAGGAAAGCUUGCUUUCCUUGUCGACGACCGGCGCACGGGUGAGUAACGCGUGUCCAACCUGCCCCCAACUAGGGAAUAACCUUGCGAAAGUAAGACUAAUACCCUAUAAUUUCCUCAGAUGUCAUCUGACGAGGAAUAAAGAUUUAUCGGUUGUGGAUGGGGAUGCGUCUGAUUAGCUUGUUGGCGGGGUAACGGCCCACCAAGGCAACGGUCAGUAGGGGUUCUGAGAGGAAGGUCCCCCACAUUGGAACUGAGACACGGUCCAAACUCCUACGGGAGGCAGCAGUGAGGAAUAUUGGUCAAUGGGCGAAAGCCUGAACCAGCCAAGUAGCGUGCAGGAUGACGGCCCUAUGGGUUGUAAACUGCUUUUAUACAGGAAUAAAGUUAGCCACGUGUGGUUAUUUGUAGGUACUGUAUGAAUAAGGACCGGCUAAUUCCGUGCCAGCAGCCGCGGUAAUACGGAAGGUCCAGGCGUUAUCCGGAUUUAUUGGGUUUAAAGGGAGCGUAGGCCGUCUGUUAAGCGUGUUGUGAAAUGUAGAUGCUCAACAUCUGAAUUGCAGCGCGAACUGGCAGACUUGAGUGUGCGCAACGUAGGCGGAAUUCGUGGUGUAGCGGUGAAAUGCUUAGAUAUCACGAAGAACUCCGAUUG